UAUGGGGGGACCAUCCUCCAAGGCUAAAUACUCCUGACUGACCGAUAGUGAACCAGUACCGUGAGGGAAAGGCGAAAAGAACCCCGGCGAGGGGAGUGAAAAAGAACCUGAAACCGUGUACGUACAAACAGUGGGAGCACCCUUCGGGGUGUGACUGCGUACCUUUUGUAUAAUGGGUCAGCGACUUAUAUUCUGUAGCAAGGUUAACCGAAUAGGGGAGCCGGAGGGAAACCGAGUCUUAAUUGGGCGUUAAGU
rnacentral:rRNA from 1 species